rnacentral:rRNA from 1 species
GGGAAAUUUUCCGCAAUGGGCGAAAGCCUGACGGAGCAAUACCGCGUGAGGGAGGAAGGCUCUUGGGUUGUAAACCUCUUUUCUCAGGGAAGAACAGAAUGACGGUACCUGAGGAAUAAGCAUCGGCUAACUCCGUGCCAGCAGCCGCGGUAAUACGGAGGAUGCAAGCGUUAUCCGGAAUGAUUGGGCGUAAAGGGUCCGCAGGUGGCAUUGUAAGUCUGCUGUUAAAGAGUUUGGCUCAACCAAAUAAGAGCAGUGGAAACUACAAAGCUAGAGUGUGGUCGGGGCAGAGGGAAUUCCUGGUGUAGCGGUGAAAUGCGUAGAUAUCAGGAAGAAC